rnacentral:rRNA from 1 species
UACGGAGGGUGCGAGCGUUGUCCGGAAUCACUGGGCGUAAAGGGCGCGUAGGCGGCUCGGUAAGUAGGGGGUGAAAUCCUGCGGCUUAACCGCAGGGCUGCCUUCUAAACUGUCGAGCUUGAGCACGGUAGAGGCAGAUGGAAUUCCCGGUGUAGCGGUGGAAUGCGUAGAGAUCGGGAAGAACAUCAGUGGCGAAGGCGGUCUGCUGGGCCGUUGCUGACGCUGAGGCGCGACAGCGUGGGGAGCAAACGGG